UACAGAGGUCCCAAGCGUUAUCCGGAUUCACUGGGUUUAAAGGGUGCGUAGGCGGGUCAGUAAGUCCGUGGUGAAAUCUCUGAGCUUAACUCAGAAACUGCCGUGGAUACUAUUUGCCUUGAAUAUUGUGGAGGUGAGCGGAAUAUGUCAUGUAGCGGUGAAAUGCUUAGAUAUGACAUAGAACACCAAUUGCGAAGGCAGCUCACUACACAAUGAUUGACGCUGAGGCACGAAAGCGUGGGGAUCAAACAGG
rnacentral:rRNA from 1 species